rnacentral:rRNA from 1 species
CAGCCGCCACGGGAAUACGAAGGGGGCUAGCGUUGUUCGGAUUUACUGGGCGUAAAGGGCGCGUAGGCGGACUGAUAAGUCAGGGGUGAAAUCCCAAGGCUCAACCUUGGAACUGCCUUUGAUACUGUUUGUCUUGAGUUCGAGAGAGGUAAGUGGAACUGCGAGUGUAGAGGUGAAAUUCGUAGAUAUUCGCAAGAACACCAGUGGCGAAGGCGGCUUACUGGCUCGAUACUGACGCUGAGGCGCGAAAGCGUGGGGAGCGAACAGGAUUAGAUACCCCCGUAGUCCCUGUCUCUUAUAC